GUCCCCUUCGUCUAGCGGUCUAGGACAUCGCCCUUUCACGGCGAAAACACGGGUUCGAGUCCCGUAGGGGACACCA
rnacentral:tRNA from 1 species